CCUACGGGGGGCAGCAGUGGGGGAUAUUGCACAAUGGGGGAAACCCUGAUGCAGCGACGCCGCGUGUGGGAAGACGGUCCUCUGGAUUGUAAACCACUGUCCCCAGGGACGAAGAUGACGGUACCUGGGGAGGAAGCUCCGGCUAACUACGUGCCAGCAGCCGCGGUACUACGUAGGGAGCGAGCGUUGUCCGGAAUUACUGGGUGUAAAGGGAGUGUAGGGGGGGUUGAAAGUUGGGGGUCAAAACUACGGGCUAAACUGGUAGUCGCACUCAAAACUGGAGCUCUUGAGUGAAGUAGAGGCAGGCGGAAUUCGUGGUGUAGCGGUGAAAUGCGUAGAUAUUAGGAGGAACACCAGUGGCGAAGGCGGCCUGCUGGGCUUUUACUGACGCUGAGGCUCGAAAGUGUGGGGAGCAAACAGGAUUAGAUACCCGUGUAGUC
rnacentral:rRNA from 1 species